rnacentral:snoRNA from 1 species
ACCCCCUGGCAUUGGGCAAAGAGACACCUCACUGGUGGUGUUUUAUAUCAGUCAGGGGCAGAGCAGAUAGUCCUUUGUUCAUCCUAGCUUGAUGCCUGGAUCAGUGGCCAGAGCUGUUUCAUGCCUAGGGCACAUAA